AAAGUUAGUUCUAGCUUUUAUAUUUAUAAGAUAUUUAUUUGUAUAUAUUAAUUUUUAUAAAAAUUAUUUUAAAUUUUAAAAAUUUUGAAAUUUAAUUAUAAUAUUUAAUAUUAAACAUUAUAGAAAUUUAGAUUUAGUAUAAUAUGAGAUUAUUGACAAAUUUUGUGCCAGCAGUCGCGGUUAUACAUAAAAUAAAUUAAAUAUCUAUUUAUAGUUAAUUAAUAUGUUAAUUAAGUAAUUAAAAAAAAAAUUUAUUUAUAGGGUAAAAUUUAUAAAUUAAUUUAAGUUUAAUGUAUUAUUUAUUUAUGAAGUUAAUGAAUUAAAUUGAAUUAGACUAGGAUUAGAUACCCUAUUAUAAAAAUUAAAAUUUUAACUUAUAAGGUAGUAAGAGUUAUAUGCUUGAAACUUAAAGAAUUUGGCAGUAUUUUAAUCUAGUUAGAGGAACCUGCUUAUUAAUUGAUAUUCCACGAUUAAUUUUACUUAAAUUAUUGAAUUUGUAUAUCGUUGUUAUAAAAAUUUUUUUUAUAAAAAAAAAUUUAAUUAUUUUAAUUGAAAUUUAUAUCAAAUCAACAUGCAGUUUAUAUUUAAGAAUUUAGUGGGUUAUUGUGAGAAAAUUUAUGGAAAAAAUAUGAAAUAUAUUUAUAUGUAAAGAAGAUUUAUGAGUAAUUUAAUUAAGUUAAUUUAAAUGAUAAAAGUUCUAAAAUAUGCACAUAUUGCCCGUCAUUUUCAUUUUAAAUUGAAACAAGUCGUAACAUAGUAGAAUUACUGGAAAGUGUUUCUAGAA
rnacentral:ncRNA from 1 species